CCGAACCGCCGACACGAGUUGUUGCUGGUCUCCAAACGGGGGCACGUGCACGCUCUGUUUGUGCAUCCACUCACACCUGUGCACCUUCUGUGGUUCUGUGGCCUGGGGGACUCGUCCUCCCGCCGUGGUUCUGCAUCUUUACACUCACGCUGUGAUAAAGUCUAAUGGAAUGCAUGCCGCGUUUAACGCAAUACAAUA
rnacentral:misc_RNA from 1 species